CCUACGGGAGGCAGCAGUGAGGAAUAUUGGUCAAUGGGCGCGAGCCUGAACCAGCCAAGUAGCGUGAAGGAUGACUGCCCUACGGGUUGUAAACUUCUUUUAUAAAGGAAUAAAGUGAUGCACGUGUGCCUUUUUGUAUGUACUUUAUGAAUAAGGAUCGGCCAACUCCGUGCCAUACGCCGCGGUAAUACGGAGGAUCCGAGCGUUAUCCGGAUUUAUUUGGUUUAAAGGGAGCGUAGAUGGGUUGUUAAGUCAGUUGUGAAAGUUUGCGGCUCAACCGUAAAAUUGCAAUUGAUACUGGCAGCCUUGAGUACAGUUGAGGUAGGCGGAAUUCGUGGUGUAGCGGUGAAAUGCGUAGAGAUCACGAAGAACUCCGAUUGCGAAGGCAGCCUACUAAACUGCCACUGACAUUGAUGCUCGAAAGUGUGGGGAUCAAACAGGAUUAGAUACCCUUGUAGUC
rnacentral:rRNA from 1 species